GAUGAAGAACGUAGCGAAAUGCGAUAAGUAAUGUGAAUUGCAGAAUUCAGUGAAUCAUCGAAUCUUUGAACGCACAUUGCGCCCGCCAGUAUUCUGGCGGGCAUGCCUGUUCGAGCGUCAUUUCAACCAUCAAGCCCCCGGCUUGUGUUGGGGACCUGCGGCUGCCGCAGGCCCUGAAAACCAGUGGCGGGCUCGCUAGUCACUCCGAGCGUAGUAAUACAUCUCGCUCAGGGCGUGCUGCGGGUUCCGGCCGUUAAAAGCCUUAUUUACCCAAGGUUGACCUCGGAUCAGGUAGGAAGACCCGCUGAACUUAAGCAUAUCAAUAAGCGGAGA
rnacentral:misc_RNA from 1 species